rnacentral:rRNA from 1 species
GACGAACGCUGGCGGCGUGCUUAACACAUGCAAGUCGAGCGGUAAGGCCCUUUCGGGGUACGACGAGCGGCGAACGGGUGAGUAACACGUGGGUGACCUGCCCUUAGCUCUGGGAUAAGCCUGGGAAACUGGGUCUAAUACCGGAUAUGACCUCAUGACUCAUGUUGUGGGGUGGAAAGCCUUGUGCGGCUAGGGAUGGGCCCGCGGUCUAUCAGCUUGUUGGUGGGGUAAUUGCCUACCAAGGCGACGACGGGUAGCCGGCCUGAGAGGGCGACCGGCCACACUGGGACUGAGACACGGCCCAGACUCCUACGGGAGGCAGCAGUGGGGAAGUCUUGCGCAAUGGGCGAAAGCCUGACGCAGCGACGCCGCGUGAGGGAUGACGGCCU